CGAUCGUUCUUCUUUUCUCCUUCUCCCUCUCAAUACCUUUCUCCAAUCAGAUAAAUCCAAACAACUGAAUCUUCGACUAGGUUCGAACAAUAAUGACAGAGAUCAAGAAUUCAAUCGAUUGUUUUUCUCUUAUUUGAUUAGGGUUAAUGGGCAAGGAAUGGGUUCCUAGGAUGUUUGUGAGAUGCUAGGGCCUGGUAAUUUAUCAAAGAAGAAGUUUUAUGCUGAAGGCUGUCACUCAUCAGAUGCGUUGAUGCAGCUGGGAUUCAGCUUGAACGAGUACCAUAAAUGUUGUUUAUACGUAUGUCUUAACUUAUGUGGCAGUAUUGCUGAAUUAUUAACUUCUGAAUGAGAAAAAAUAAAAUAAAUUGUUCUACAGA